rnacentral:rRNA from 1 species
CCUACGGGAGGCAGCAGUGAGGAAUAUUGGUCAAUGGCCGUAAGGCUGAACCAGCCAAGUAGCGUGAAGGAAGACGGCCCUACGGUUUGUAAACUUCUUUUAUAGGGGAAUAAAGAUAUCCACGUGUGGAUAUUUGCAUGUACUCUAUGAAUAAGCAUCGGCUAACUCCGUGCCAGCAGCCGCGGUAAUACGGAGGAUGCGAGCGUUAUCCGGAUUUAUUGGGUUUAAAGGGUGCGUAGGUUGGUUUUUAAGUCAGCGGUGAAAGUUUGUGGCUCAACCAUAAAAUUGCAGUUGAAACUGGAAGACUUGAGUAUGUUUGAGGUAGGCGGAAUGCGUGGUGUAGCGGUGAAAUGCAUAGAUAUCACGCAGAACUCCGAUUGCGAAGGCAGCUUACUAAGCCGUAACUGACACUGAAGCACGAAAGCGUGGGUAUCAAACAGGAUUAGAUACCCCUGUAGUC